rnacentral:miRNA from 2 species
ACGUGUAUGCUCGUAGCUAUAAC